rnacentral:snRNA from 1 species
GGCACCAUGUGUGUUCCUGUGCAAUUUGCCUACUCUGUGGAAGAGGAUGACCUUUCCCAAUGUUCCUUGGUUGAGUGUAUAUAAGGAGUUGCCCAACACUACCAGAAACUUCAAGCAAACUCUUGAAGUCAAUUUAUAGGAAAAAGUAGAAGAUUCCAAGACUCUAGACACAAAGAAAUGAGUUGUUACAUCAAGCCAUCUAGCUUUCAUG